rnacentral:rRNA from 1 species
AUUGAACGCUGGCGGAAUGCUUUACACAUGCAAGUCGAGCGGCAGCGCGGGGGCAACCCUGGCGGCGAGCGGCGAACGGGUGAGUAAUGUAUCGGAACGUACCCUGUCGUGGGGGAUAACACAGCGAAAGCUGUGCUAAUACCGCAUACGACCUGAGGGUGAAAGCGGGGGAUCGCAAGACCUCGCGCGAUAGGAGCGGCCGAUAUCGGAUUAGCUAGUUGGUGAGGUAAAGGCUCACCAAGGCGACGAUCCGUAGCUGGUCUGAGAGGACGACCAGCCACACUGGAACUGAGACACGGUCCAGACUCCUACGGGAGGCUG